rnacentral:rRNA from 1 species
AUGUCCAUCGCAACAACAGGUACUUCACCGUCGGCCGCCCUUCUUCUCGCCGGGCACAAUACCACAAGGACACCACCGCCGCCGCCUCGCCCUGCUCACUGCGCCGCUCGCCUGGCCCUACUCGCCGCGCCACCGGACUGCCACGCUCGCCUGGCCGUGCUUGCUGCUUGCUGGAGAGAGAGAGAGAGGGGGGGGCACCGCCGUAUGCUAGUGCAGCGUCGGGUGGCCGAUGCUGGAGGGAGGAGCUCCUCUGUAGUGGCCGUCACGUGCCAUGCUCGAGGGAAGAGGUCGUCGCGCGCCCGAGCAAAUAGGCUGCUGUGCGUCCGAGGGAAGAAGCCGCCGCACUCCUGCACUGAGCAAUCGACGGUGGAGUGA